rnacentral:rRNA from 1 species
CCUACGGGUGGCAGCAGUGAGGAAUAUUGGUCAAUGGACGCAAGUCUGAACCAGCCAAGUAGCGUGCAGGAUGACGGCCCUCCGGGUUGUAAACUGCUUUUAGUUGGGAAUAAAAGGGGGCUCGUGAGCCCCGUAUUGUAUGUACCAUCAGAAAAAGGACCGGCUAAUUCCGUGACAGCAGCCGCGGUAAUACGGAAGGUCCGGGCGUUAUCCGGAUUUAUUGGGUUUAAAGGGAGCGUAGGCCGGCUUUUCAGUCAGCGGUGAAAGUCCGCGGCUCAACCGUGGAAUUGCAGUUGAGACUGGAGGCGUUGAGUGCACACAGGGAGGCCGGAAGGCAGGGGGUAGGGGUGAAAUGGUUAGAGAGCAUGAAGA